CCUACGGGAGGCAGCAGUAGGGAAUCUUCCGCAAUGGACGAAAGUCUGACGGAGCAACGCCGCGUGAGUGAAGAAGGUUUUCGGAUCGUAAAACUCUGUUGUUAGGGAAGAACAAGUGCCGUUCGAAUAGGGCGGCGCCUUGACGGUACCUAACCAGAAAGCCACGGCUAACCACGUGCCAGCAGCCGCGGUAAU
rnacentral:rRNA from 1 species